UGAUAAUUAGUUUAAAUCAAAACAAAUGAUUUCGACUCAUUAAAUUAUGACUUAUCUCAUAAUUAUCAA
rnacentral:tRNA from 1 species